rnacentral:rRNA from 1 species
UAGUCAUAUGCUUGUCUCAAAGAUUAAGCCAUGCAUGUCUAAGUAUAAAUGUCUUGUACUGUGAAACUGCGAAUGGCUCAUUAAAUCAGCUAUAAUCUAUUUGAUAGUACCUUUACUACAUGGAUAACCGUGGUAAUUCUGGAGCUAAUACAUGCGAAAAAUCCCGACUUUUUGGAAGGGAUGUAUUUAUUAGAUAAAAAACCAACCCCGGGCAACCGGGCCUUUUUUGGUGAUUCAUAAUAACUUUGCGAAUCGUAUGGCUUUUUAUGCCGACGAUGGUUCAUUCGAAUUUCUGCCCUAUCAACUUUCGAUGGUAAUGUAGUGGAUUACCAUGGUUGCAACGGGUAACGGGGAAUUAGGGUUCGAUUCCGGAGAGGGAGCAUGAGAAACGGCUACCACAUCUAAGGAAGGCAGCAGGCGCGCAAAUUACCCAAUCCCGACACGGGGAGGUAGUGACAAGAAAUAACAAUACAGGGUCUGAAAAAGGUCUUGUAAUUGGAAUGAGUACAAUUUAAACCCCUUAACGAGGAACAAUU